rnacentral:lncRNA from 1 species
GAAACAAACAAUAAACAAAUUCGGCUCCGAAUUUACAUCGGUUAAUCCGUUACUGUUCUAACAGCUAACACGAAGUAGUUCGAAGUAGUUUUAAGUAGUUUAGAAAAGCCAGCAAUGGAUUUUAAUCUCUCUAAGCAUAAAGGGAUGGGUGUUGCAAGAAGAAAAUUUUCCGUGUACCUUUUUCAUGCCAGUGUUACACCACCACUUUGCUGAAAUACAACAAGGCCUUUCAAGUACAGUGCAGCAAGUUGAAGUAGUUUCUACUGCUACUGAUAAUGAAGAAACAACUGAUGGACUGAAUUGAAGUGUUCAUUGUCAGCCACAUUCAUCCUGAAUUGUUAAGUUCCAACUGAACAUGAACACACACGUUGAUUACCACUGAACAUUCCACAUCAGAGAAGAAAAUGUUAUUGUUAAAGAACAUUACCAACCAGUGAAGAGAAUUUUGGUACUGAAAAGUGCAAGACCAAAUUUUUACUACAUGUUCCAGGCUUCAACGGAUAGGAAAUAGCUGAUUUUCUGUUCACUCACAUGAAUACCAGGUGAACAAUGGUGAAAAAUGGGCAAAAUAUCAGCUUGACAUUCCAACCCAUGGGAUUCGAACUGAAAGAUGUCCUCAAGGUCUUGCAAUUGACUGGCGAGCAGCUAGAUGAGGAUUUUUCCAAUUUCUUCGUCAUCCCAUACUGAAAUCGUCUCUGCCAUCCAGAAAUUCUGUGGCUGCUGUUUAGUCCGGAAUACGAAAACCCAUUAAAAUCAGGUGCUGUUCGUUUGUUAACUGUUUCAUGACUAAAGAAUUCAACGAAGAAUUCUCCGUUAACGUCGAUUUUUAUCUGCCGGACAAGCAGUGCCUUGAGAGUUAAAUUGGAACCCGGUAUUUUAUGUGCCUGGAGCUGCAGUGGUGCACGACACGACUUAAUUGAAGUAAAACAUCGAGAAGAAAGUGGUGGACACAAAUCUUCGACAGCAUAUGAAGCUGCAGUUUGCUCGAUCUCUGACCAUCUUCAAAGAAACUGGUUAAACCGAUUACAAAGUUUAUCCCGACUAUCUGCCACUGUUGAAAAAAGACUGGACGCCAAGUUUUCUAACAAAUCAGCAAUCUGCAAAAAUAAAACGGAUUCCUGUCUUACUCUAGAAGUUUAACUGAGUUACCCACCAGUGUUCCGGAAAAAAUACCACUCAACUAAACCGUGAGAGAUGUUUCUGUCGCAUAGGCGCUACAAUAGGCAGACCAGUGUCCAACCAUACAAACGUCCUCAAACUAAAAUUUUUCGUGUGGUGGUGUAAAAUUUACAAAGAAUCUACUUGGAAAAAUUAACUUUUCAGUCACUCACAUCGAAGAAUGAUGUAAGUGACUGGACUUUUGUAAGUUUGUAACUUUGGUUCAGUUCAGUGUAAAUUCGUUUUGUAUUGAUAAUACAUUAAAUAUCUUUUUGAA